rnacentral:rRNA from 1 species
UACGGGGGGGGCAAGCGUUGUUCGGAAUUACUGGGCGUAAAGGGCUCGUAGGCGGCCAACUAAGUCAGACGUGAAAUCCCCAGGCUUAACCUGGGAACUGCGUCUGAUACUGGAUGGCUUGAAUUCGGGAGAGGGAUGCAGAAUUCCAGGUGUAGCGGUGAAAUGCGUAGAUAUCAGGAGGAAUACCGAUGGCGAAGGCAGGUCUCUGGGCUAUAACUGACGCUCAUGCACGAAAGCGUGGGGAGCAAACAGG